rnacentral:misc_RNA from 1 species
GAAAAAAAAAAAAAGAAGAGCAAUAUUUACACAGAAACAUUUAUUUAACAGUCCUGAAACAAAUCAAAUUCUUUUGCAAAUAAUUCAAAUAAUCCAAUCCGCAACUAUAACUCCCUUUUACUCUUAUGGAUACAGCUAGUAGCCUAAGAAGAUUGAACCUUUAAGAACAUAAUGAAUCGCGCUCAUAUUCCAUUCUCUUUCUGAUUCUGCCAAAAUAAUGCUAAAAAUUAAAAGCAAGAUUUACAAAUGCUAUCAAAAGCUUGAAAUCAUAUAACCUACAAAUUCACAUGAUCUAAAAUAAAAUACAAGGCUUAAAUUUUGUCUCAGAAGGUAUUGAGUGGAAACAUAAUCAUUGGCCGAUAUUCCGCACACCACAGAUCUGAGAUGUCCUACUAAGCUAAUCUAAUAUCAAAUCAUAGGACCAAAAAAAAUACUACAAAUCGGAGUUCCUCAAAAUCAUAUCAGGGUCCAUUUACAAUGAACAUCCACUUAGGUAAGAGAAAAUUUCACACAGACGAACAUGAAGGCAUAUAAAGGAGGGAGAUUGAGUAUAUACCAUCAUUCCGGCGCUUAAAAACGUAACGUUCCAUUUGGAAGUCGCAGUUCUUAGUACCGAGGUGGACUUCGGCAGCCAACAUCAUCUGUAUAUCCAACUCCUUUUGGGACAAAGCCCGUGUUGGUGCCGCUGCUGUGCCCGUCGCCAUGGCUGCGCUGCGCAAGAGUGAAUGAGACGGAAGGAUUGUGAUAGGAAGACAGAUAAAUAGGGUUUUCUUUAACCUAGCUGAUAGUACGUAGGGUUUUUACCCCCCCGA